UGUACCUCAUUCUCUAUAUCGUAGAUGUAUAGCUGUGCCCAGCGUGGCUUGCUACCUUCUUCUGGCAGUAGAGUUCCAAUAUGAUGAUAGUUUUGGCCAUGCAUGCGGAAUACGUAUGGCCCAUGGCCUUUGUUUAUCUCUUUGUCUACAACCCCUCCUGUGGAUGUGAAUGAGAACAUUGAGUUGUAAGACCGGAUGUUUUCUCUGAAGUUUUUAGAAUCUUCUCCUUCACCAUUCAAAAGAUUGUCAAGAUAAUUCGGUGGAUUUUUGCGUGGAGGCAGUCUGAUUUUUCCUUGCUUGCAGCACAUUCCAAAAGCUGGUUUUUUAGUUUUGACUUUGGGUCUUAGUCUUUCCUCGUACCAUAGGAGAGCAUCGCAGUGUUCACAUCUGUAUUUUGGCUUUCCGAAGUUCCAUAUAUUACUUUCAGCAUCGCCCCUCUUCUGUGUUUCGCCAGAUGCAUUGCUACUGUUAUCUUGAUUUGCAUCUUCAUUGCAUGUUCUUGAACGCUUUGAUUUUCUCUUUUCUUUAAGUAUUUCUUUUCUCUUCAGUCUUGCCAGUCGAUAUUUCAUCUUGGUCGUUUCCUCUAUAGUGCAUGCUCUUUUUUUGCCCCUUUUAAGGUUUAGUUGUUCCUUCCUCCUCUUUCUGUUUUACGAUGCUUCUUCCUUUCGAUGGUUCUCCAUUAGUUUUUUUGCCUGUUUCAGAUGUAAAAUUAAGGCAACAUGAAAGAGAACAUGUUUCUUGUUAUAGACUUCAAUGUGUAGUAGCAGGCAUUAAAGAAAAUUAAAUUUUCAUGUAUUUUAAAUUUAUAUGUAGUAAUUUUAUUGUUUCGACUAACAUAAUUAUGCAUGAUAUGUAUAUGCAGUGCACUAAAGGCAUGAAAGAGAAGAGGUCCACAUGAUACUUGCCAGAGGAUGCAAUUGAAGAAUGCAGAAAGCUCUAUGGUGGACAUGGUUACUUGAACAGCAGUGGGCUUCCUGAAUUAUUUGCCGUCUAUGUUCCUGCAUGCACUUAUAAAGGAGACAUAUUGGUUGAGUAUGUGUGGCACGGCAUAUUGUAUUCCAUAGAAGCGGUUUUUGCCUUUGCCUCUACUACAUUUUGGCUAAUGGUGUAUUAAUAGGCAGCCUUCUGAUGGUGAUACCUGCAGGUUGCAAGGAUUCUAAUGAAGACUGUUUCUUAAUUGAUUUCAGAUGUAAAAUUAAGGCAACAUGAAAGAGAACAUGUAAAUAUUUUCUUGUUAUAGACUUCUAGCAGUUGCCGCCAAGGUAUUAAUAGAAUUUUCUUUAACCUGUUUUAGAUUUUGUAAAAAUACUAAGUACCAGAGCUAACUGAGCUAACAGAGCUUUCACAUUGACAGCUAAGGACUGGCCUGAUAAUAAUCAUGAUUUAAUUCUUAAGCUUUUUUAUCCUAACUUGUCCAUGUAGAUUCAUAAUUUUUUAUUGAAUAUGUAAUGUGUGGUUGCGUGGACCCAGAUACACUGGAACACAAUAUUAUUAUUAUUAUGUUUAUAACUUAGAGCCUAGUGCUCGUGUAAUCUUUUGUUUUUUUAAUUAUGUCUGUAAAUUGGUUAAUUUGCUGGAUUUAAAGAUUUCCUGUAUCCUGUUAUUUAUCCGGAUGUAUCCGAGCUUUAUAUUAGGAGGUUUUGAUUUGUUAUUUUGUUUUGGCAGGGUGACGCUGACAGCUCGUUGGACAGGCUGUGGCAGAAGAGGAAGGCUGACUAACAAAAUUAUGCAUGAUAUGUAUAUGCAGUGCACUAAAGGCAUGAAAGAGAAGAGGUCCGCAUGAUACUUGCGAGAAGUACACUCCAGUUUAGAUUUUUGUCUCCCACGAACUGUUGUGUUUCCCGAUGCUUUUUUUAAUGAAUUGUAAUGCUACAAAUAAAUAUGUUCGCAUAAGCAGCCAGUAAAGAAUAUGGUUUUUGAUUCUUGGAGCAGAA